rnacentral:rRNA from 1 species
GACGAACGCUGGCGGCGUGCUUAACACAUGCAAGUCGAACGGAAAGGCCCUGCUUUUGUGGGGUGCUCGAGUGGCGAACGGGUGAGUAACACGUGAGUAACCUGCCCUUGACUUUGGGAUAACUUCAGGAAACUGGGGCUAAUACCGGAUAGGAGCUCCUGCUGCAUGGUGGGGGUUGGAAAGUUUCGGCGGUUGGGGAUGGACUCGCGGCUUAUCAGCUUGUUGGUGGGGUAGUGGCUUACCAAGGCUUUGACGGGUAGCCCGCCUGAGAGGGUGACCGGCGACAUUGGGACUGAGAUACGGCCCAGACGCCUACGGGAGGCAGUAGGGGGGAAUAUUGCACAACGGGCGGAAGCCUGAUGCAGCAACGCUGCGUGCGGGAUGACGGCCUUCGGGUUGUAAACCGCUUUCGCCGGUGACGAAGCGUGAGUGACGGUAAUGGGUAAAGAAGCACCGGCUAACUACGUG